rnacentral:misc_RNA from 1 species
GAUGAAGAAUGUAGCGAAAUGCGAUACUUGGUGUGAAUUGCAGAAUCCCGCGAAUCAUCGAGUUUUUGAACGCAAGUUGCGCCCGAAGCCAUUCGGCCGAGGGCACGUCUGCCUGGGUGUCACGCAUCGUUGCCCCCCCAAACUCCGGUUCGGGCAGGGCGGAAGUUGGCCUCCCGUGCGUGCCUGCGCGCGCGGUUAGCCCAAAAGCGAGUCCUCGGCGACGAGCGCCACGACAAUCGGUGGUUUUUUUACCCUCGUUCCUCGUCGUGCGUGCCCCGUCGCCCGAACGCGCUCUUGCGACCCUUACGCGUCGCCUCGGCGGCGCUCCCAACGCGACCCCAGGUCAGGCGGGACUACCCGCUGAGUUUAAGCAUAUCAAUAAGCGGAGGA